UGGCGAUUAAUAUGAGUAUCUAGUGGGCUAUUUUUGGUAAGCAGAACUGGCGCUGUGGGUUGAACCAAACGUCGAGUUAAGGGGCCUAAAUGAAUGCUCAUUCAGAUCCCAUCGAAAGGCGUUGGUUGCUAUAGACAGCAGGACGGUGGCCAUGGAAGUUGGAAUCCGCUAAGGAGUGUGUAACAACUCACCUGCCGAAGCAACUAGCCCUUAAAAUGGUAUGGCGCUGAAGCAUUCUCCCGAUACUCGACCGCCGGGGCACUAGCGGCCACGUCCCAGAGGCGAGGUCUCGAAGCCCCGGUGAGUAAGAGGGUCGCAGUGGUGAGCGCUGAAGGGAUCCGGCGUGAGCCGGCCUGNAGCCGCCACUGGUGCAGAUCUUGGUGGUAGUAGCAAAUACUCGAGAGAGACUCCCUUGAAGACCGAAGUGGAGAAGGGUUCCAUGUGAACAUCAGUUGGACAUGGGUUAGUCGCUCCUAAGCCCAAGGCUAAGGCCUGAUCCCAUGCCAAUGGC
rnacentral:rRNA from 1 species